ACAGGCCCCAACAGCCCCUGCUGGAGGCUCCACUGCUCUUCCUGGGAUCAACUGUUCCUAGAAGAGAAGCAGGACCCUCUCUCACCCCACCCCCAACCUUGACUGUCACCAAAGAAGAAGCCAGAGAGGGGAGCCCCCCACUACUGUGGCCUAGGAGCUUGGAAGACAAUACUGAGACAGACACCUGUGCUGUGGGCUCCCCAAAUCUGCCAGCAAAGGACUCUCGAGGAUGGAUCAGGAAUAGAAGCUCCAGAGCCCAGGACAUAGGAACAGCUUUACUUUCCCUUUCAUUUGAUUCAAUGGAACCCAAAAGAAACUCCUUCCUCCCCCUGCUCCAAGGGGAAUCCAAAAGAUAAAGAUGGCAGGGAACCAGUGACAGAUCAGUCCAUGCACAUAAUCUUAAAAGGCACUUCUGCAGCCCCAUCCCAACCCCACGCACCGACUCCGGAGCUCUAGCAUGGAAUAUAAGCCUGAUCCCCCACACCGGUUCUCAGAACCGUGGCCUAACCUGGAGCCUGAGGCCAACCUCUCUUCCCCUGCAGUCAAGGACUCAGUGACCAAGGAGCUGCAAACAGCCCGGCCAAGCAGGGAGCAGACUUAGAGGACACCACACUCCCGUCCCCUCCCUGAUGCCAAAGAAGCAUGGCUGUGAGGCUCCAGGAGGUUUCUGGAAAGCACCUGCAACUCCCCUCCCAUCAGUUCAAGAACAGAGAUCACACAGGUUUGCAUCAACCAGAAAGUCAGCUUUAUUAGCCCAUCACCAGUAGAGGAGCAGGGAGACAGCUGGGAACUGCGCUGGGAGAGCAGGGUCCUGACCCAGGCCUUCAGGAGGUGAGGCCAGCUGGUGGGCAGGAGGCUGUGGUAGAGGCAGCUCAGUUCUAGGAGCACUGGCCCUGGCUGAAGCUGGAUGAGCCCUGCUCCUUGAGGAUGGGCCAGGUCUGACGGCUCGAAGAGGACGAAGAGGAGGUGAAGACUGUGGGAGAGAGAAGAGGAGCAGGUGGCGGUAGGUGGCGAUCUCCUGCUCCAGCCGUGUCUUCAUGUCCAGCAAGAUCUGGUACUCCCGGCUCUGCUGCUCCAUCUCACAGCAUAGCUGGGCCAGCUGCUCCUCCA